UCUAUGUAGUGUUGUCCAUACGUUUAGAUAACGGUUUGAGUUAUUCCGUUAUAUUUGUGCGUUAUCUAUUAGAUACAUACAUAACGGUAUUACAAAACCGUUAAGCCGACCGUUAUCUAUGAGCAUCUUUUUAUAGAAUUUUAAAAAUUAAAAGAAAAAAAAAAUCAAAAAAUUGGCUUCUUCUUCCCCAAAUUGGCUUCGACACCUCCACUUUCCCCAAAAACUUAAAGAAAAACAGGGCUUCUGCAAUUCUUCUUCUCCAUCCGCCUUCUUCUCCAUCCGCCUUCUUCUUCGCCUCUCCUCCCCCCAUCCGCCUUCUUCUUCCCCAAAUCGACCCCUCUGCCAUAUACCAACUCUGUUCGCCCCGAUUCUCCACCAAGUCCCGACUUCGAACCAUGCCGAUGCUCCAGCGCGGCGCACACUUCGGCGACCCGGAUCGACGCCUCCUUCACCAACUCCAGCGCGGCGCACGCUUCGGCGACCCGGAUCGAACCAAGUCCCAGCUUCGAACCCUAGGUUGUCGCAGGUGGCCUGUCAUCGAAGCCUCUCAGGAAAGCCAACUUUCCCCUCACGACCUAUCUCGAGCUCCUCUAUUUUUUCCCCAAAUUCAGAACCCUAGGUUGUUUGUCGCCACCUCCACCGCUUCCACCGGUAGUCACCUCCCUCGCACUGAAAUACUCCGAUUUUAAUGGCAGCGACCCUCUCUCUCUCAGAUAAUAUGCACAAAUUGGGCACAACUUUAUCUUUCUAGGGUUCUAAAUUGCUCCGGUAACGACAGUUCUCUCCAACUCCAUUAUUGAAUUCGCGGGGGGAUUCUGAAUUCUUGAUUGCUCCGGGUCCGAAUUGUUAUGACAGUUUUCUUAGGUGGUAAGCUUUGCUUAAUUGAAUAUUAGGCAUGGUGGAUGCUCACAAUGAAAUCAUGUCUUGUAUUCCUGUGCUCUAAGACCUAAAUUUGAAACUGAUCGUGUAUUGUUAGGCUGAUGCUGGAGGUUCACCCUCACUUGUUGCUCGAGGAUUCAGCACUGUUCAGGCUGCUAGUGGUGGUGAGCAACUUGAAAUUCAAGUUCCAGUUGAAAGGAGUAUGUGGCAGAAGACCGUGAAGCUAACAAGGAUGUGUCCGAACUUGAUCCCAGCCAUGUGACCGAGCUAAGAUGCUAGGCCUCUAUUGAGGCUGUGGCGAAUCCUGAAUGGUUGGUUCAGAGUUUAGUGAGUUCUCUGGAAAAGAAAGUAGAUGAAGGAGAGAAGAAGUAUGAAGAGUCGAACAAGCUAGCUAUGGAGGCAGAGACAGAGAUAAUUAAGCUGAAGACCGAAAUGCAGAGGCUUGAAGAGAAAAUUUCUGACAUGGAGACAGCAGAUCAGGUUCUCCGUCGACAGGCUUUAAUGAAUAAUCCUUCAGGGAAACUAUCUGGGCAGUUACCUUCAACUACUCAUGAAGGGGAGAAUGGUCAUCAAGAACUUUUGAGUGCAGCACCAAGUAAAAGAUUUGGUACUGAAUCAGAUAGCGCAUUGAGGAAAUCUACCAUUGAAAGGCAACGUGGAAAAGCUUAACUCCAUGAAUUUGAUGCUUUAUAUGGCACCGAUUGCUGUUGUAGUUUGGCUGUGUUUGUAAUGGAACCUGAUAUAUUUAACUUAGUUGUCGCACUUGGAAAGGAACAUAAAUUCAUGUGGAUUCUUCUUUUCGUUAAUUCAACAGUGGAUUAUGAAGCGAACUUGUGCAAUAUCCUGGUGACUAAGCAUACAAGUGCUCUAACACUCCAGGUUUGUGGUGGAUUAAAUGAGUCGUACGUUGAGCUGAAGAGACUUGUGAAUUCACAAGAAAAGUUGUACCAUAUGGCUAGCUAGUUGCAUAUUUAAUAUGUUUAGUAUUUUUGUAAGGCAUAAUAGUAUAGAUAGAACAGUUGUUGAAUUUUGACUAUAUUCAAAUCUUGUAUGAAUUCUUUUUUAUGAUAAUAAUAUAAAAUUAAAUAUUUUGGAUGA